UCAUUCUUUUAUUUUAUUGAUUUCUUAAUAAAAAGAAUGUAAUAUGUUUUAUUCGAUAAAUGUGAAGGAAACAUCCUAAGGGCGUUCGCCAAGUGUUCGUUAUGGGGAGAUAAUUACCCAUAGCGCAAUAAAGGAAUCCGUUUCCAUGGUAGCCGUCGUCGCAGCUGCACUCCGCUCGAUGGUUCGAGUUCACGCAAACUGCAUUCUUGACGCAGGGGUUCCGGUUCAGGCAGGGUUCCUGGCAAGUGCCCGCGAUGCACGCCGCGGUCAACGGGCAAUCUUUGUCGCUAGUGCAACCCGCUAGAGAAAGAUUGAGGAAGCCCGUAUAGCCCCGAGAAAGUGUGCACAAGUACGAUGGACAGAGAGAAGGAGUCGCGGUUUGCGUGCGUAGACGCUACUCAGGCGGAUCAGCUUGUAUGAAACAACGAUCAGUGCGCGGGGAUUCGAGACAAUUCACAACACAAAAGUACUCAAAACAACGAGAGACAAUUCAAGAUUCUCCUAGAAGAUUGUCGAAUGAAUGAAAAAAAUAAAGGAGAAUAUCGGCAGCUAAAACUCAAGACUACAAAGAUCGUUCGCUGGAAAGAGAGGCAGACGCGCGGAGGAUUCGAGUUCUCUCGUUCGUAUACGAACCUUUGACGCAUGUGUUGGACGCUGGGUCGCACUGCAUGCCGGGCGGACAGUAAGGACAACUGGUGUCGUUCAGUACGUCUGGGGAAAUGUAGAGAACGUUUUUUUGAUUAGUCUUGCGGUGCUUGGAAGGACGGCUGAAAUUUCGCUGGGGGAUCUACCUUUCACGCAAACUGGUCUGUGAUCUUGCACGUGGCAAACUUCGACGAAGUCGCACGGGUUCUCGACGGUGCACGGGUUCAGGCACUGUUGGUUUAUGCAGGCCAGCUGGGAGAGACAGUCGUCGUGCGUUCUGCAUUUGGUAUCUACCGGAACGGACAGAGUAUUAGAGCCUCGAAGCAGCAUUCCUUCGAUUCGUAACACUAAACGCGAUCCACAAAUAGACAAGCGAGAAGAGGUUUCGUGCAGAGGCACAUUAAUGUACAACAUGCAAAGAGCGCUAAUGCAGCAGGUCCAUGUCAGCACUGGAGCCCGGCAGUGUGAUUUGACAAUUUCUACGUCAGACAUUCGACUGGUGCGCGAUGCCCGUCCGGUAUCGUUCCCGGCACAAUUUUCCCGAUCGAGAUCGAACAGCCUCGAAGAGGGUCUGCAGAGAUCAAGCAACAACUCUCCAGAAUUGGUUGCCACCAAUUUUCAUCUGGAUACGACGAAGAACACACUGGAGACACGUUUUCGUGGAGGCACAUUGUUUUGGUGAACACGAGAACAUUUACAAAAACUCCCGACAAGAAUGAUCUUUACCUGGGAGUACGCUACAAUUAGAUGUACUCUGGUCGACUGUUAGGUUGAAGCACACGGGCCGAUCGAUCGGUACCUCGCAUUUAGACUUAUCUGUGCACGGUUCAUCGGUUUUGCAACGACAUCUACCAUUCGAACAGAUAUCGCACCCU